rnacentral:misc_RNA from 1 species
CGAUGGAGUACACAUCUAUCGUUCUGUAGAUAGUGUAGAUGAAGAAGCAGACAAUAAUGAAGAAGGCGAAGCAGACAAUAAGGAAGACGGCGUAGUAGCUACAGAGGACAGGUCCGGUGAAUUUCGACAGAGAGGACAUGUGGCAUUCAUUUUAAGCCAUUCAUCGAUGCAAUCUGCGUGGAAAUAAUGGUUGCAUUCAGGUAUGGUCCUUAAUGUCUCCUUAGGCUCAUACUCACAUAAACAUAUAGGGCAAGUGUUGUCAUUAGGCUUAGGCAAUCGUCGACUUUCGCCGAGUAAUGUUUUUGGGUAUGAUUCUAUGGUUGGUCCGUCCAGUCCGCUUAUCGAAAUGCUUGGUGUGUGCGCAAAGGUGGUGGUGACAUGUGCGCUGGACUGGUGUCUUCGGCUAUAAUUCCUGAUUCUGCCACACAAGUAACAACCCAACCCAAUUAUGCACAGAAGU